rnacentral:tRNA from 1 species
CUGUAGCUCAAUGGUAGAGUGCUUGCCUACCAUGCAAGGGGCCCUGGGUUCAACAUCCAGUAG